ACUCCUGCGGGAGGCAGCAGUGGGGAAUAUUGGACAAUGGGCGCAAGCCUGAUCCAGCCAUGCCGCGUGAGUGAUGAAGGCCCUAGGGUUGUAAAGCUCUUUCACCGGUGAAGAUAAUGACGGUAACCGGAGAAGAAGCCCCGGCUAACUUCGUGCCAGCAGCCGAGGUAAUACGAAGGGGGCUAGCGUUGUUCGGAUUUACUGGGCGUAAAGCGCACGUAGGCGGACUAUUAAGUCAGGGGUGAAAUCCCGGGGCUCAACCCCGGAACUGCCUUUGAUACUGGUAGUCUUGAGUUCGAGAGAGGUGAGUGGAAUUCCGAGUGUAGAGGUGAAAUUCGUAGAUAUUCGGAGGAACACCAGUGGCGAAGGCGGCUCACUGGCUCGAUACUGACGCUGAGGUGCGAAAGCGUGGGGAGCAAACAGGAUUAGAAACCCUAGUAGUCCCAUGAU
rnacentral:rRNA from 1 species